UCGUAGCUAAGUAAAAGUAAAUAACAUUUGUUGCAGAAAGAUACAUAAAGGCAGGUGUUUUGGCGUGGUUGAUGACGUCACUGGGAGGUAUAAAAAAAAGCAAAGGCUUGGUCUCCUGCUCCAUUCACGUUUUCUCUACCAAGAAGAACAGAAUCCCCUCCAUCAUGAAGAAACUGUGCGUCGCAGUCGUCGGAGUUUUGCUGCUGGCUUUCCAUCUCACAUCACAGGUGGCCCUGGCGAAUAACGCCACGAAUCCGGACAACACAAACAUCACCACCCCGAGCUCCACGGGGGCUUGUUGUGGGGCUACCGCCGCCUUCAUGGUGCUGCUCCCCCCGCUGGCUCUGACCGCUCUUCUCCUCCACCGGUCCUGAUUGAGUGGACUGACCGCGCUGGACACAAAAGCCAGCACAGGUUACACUGUGGAUCCAGUGCUGGCUUAGUCUAAAUACACUAAUCUCUCAAUCCACCCACCCACCCCCUCAAAAACAGCCAAAAACGCGUUUUGGAAUUACAUUUCAAGUGCUGGGUGGGAAACUUGUCUUAAAAGGCGACGCUCACUUUCAAGCAUUCUGCUCCUUCUAUUGUCUGUACUGGCUCUGCAAGGACUCUGAAAACUACUUUGGCACCACACCGGCCCUUUUACUCCUGCGUGCAGUGGGAGAACACCUCAGACUCGUGUAGUGACCGUCUUUGAUUCUGGUUUCAUUCGCCUGAACGUGAUUUGUAAAUGAGCUAAAUUGUGACCACUGUACUUUCAGGGUGUGACUUGAACUGUUUAUUUUUAUGUAGAUUAAAUAAAGCUUUAAAAUGUGAGACCACA